GGGAAGAUUUUUAUUCUAUAGCUCUAUAAGUAUAAGAGUUGUGUGCAAACUUUUCCCUAAAUCAAUUUGUGGUCUUAGCCGACAGGCCUGAAUGAAGACCUUUCGACCUGUGCGAUUAUUCCACACACU